GUCACUCCCUUUCCGCUCAGCUCCGCUAGCUGCUUUGCUACGGCCUGGUGGUUGUGGAACAUAACAAGGUAUCAAGUUAGUUAAGCAUAUUGACAUACUAUGAGUAAACGAUGGAUGUAUUAGCUGGGUUUACCUCAGUUCCAGCUGCAAACUUUUCGAAUUCAAAAACACCCAUGGGACCAUUCCAGAUGAUGGUCUGGGUUGUGUCCAGAGCCUCGCUGAAUGUCUUGAUAGAGUCUGGCCCAACAUCGAGUCCCAUCCAGCCAUCUGGGAUUGCCGUGGCUGGCACUAUCUGCAAAUUGUUCACAAGUGUGUCAGCUCUAAACAGAACAGACACUGAAACGUUUUUAUGCUCGUUACCUUGCUGUUAGCAUCGGGAGCGAACUUAUCAGCAAUAACCACAUCGGUUGGGAGCAACAGAGAGACACCUUUGGCUUUCGCCUUCUCCAUGAGUGACUUGGCCAAGUCAAGCUUGUCCUCUUCCACAAGGGAAGAUCCAACCGA
rnacentral:lncRNA from 1 species